AUACUCCUGACUGACCGAUAGUGAACCAGUACCGUGAGGGAAAGGCGAAAAGAACCCCGGCGAGGGGAGUGAAAAAGAACCUGAAACCGUGUACGUACAAGCAGUGGGAGCACAGGUUUACCUGUGUGACUGCGUACCUUUUGUAUAAUGGGUCAGCGACUUAUAUUCUGUAGCAAGGUUAACCGAAUAGGGGAGCCGGAGGGAAACCGAGUCUUAAUUGGGCGUUAAGUUGCAGGGUAUAGACCCGAAACCCGGUGAUCUAGCCAUGGGCAGGUUGAAGGUUGGGUAACACUAACUGGAGGACCGAACCGACUAAUGUUGAAAAAUUAGCGGAUGACCUGUGGCUGGGGGUGAAAGGCCAAUCAAACCGGGAGAUAGCUGGUUCUCCCCGAAAGCUAUUUAGGUAGCGCCUCGUGAAUUCAUCUCCGGGGGUAGAGCACUGUUUCGGCUAGGGGGCCAUCCCGGCUUACCAACCCGAUGCAAACUGCGAAUACCGGAGAAUGUUAUCACGGGAGACACACGGCGGGUGCUAACGUCCGUCGUGAAGAGGGAAACAACCCAGACCGCCAGCUAAGGUCCCAAAGUCAUGGUUAAGUGGGAAACGAUGUGGGAAGGCCCAGACAGCCAGGAUGUUGGCUUAGAAGCAGCCAUCAUUUAAAGAAAGCGUAAUAGCUCACUGGUCGAGUCGGCCUGCGCGGAAGAUGUAACGGGGCUAAACCAUGCACCGAAGCUGCGGCAGCGA
rnacentral:rRNA from 1 species